rfam:Strongylocentrotus purpuratus Contig58766_fixed, whole genome shotgun sequence.
ACUUUGAUAGCUCAGUCGGUAGAGCAGUGGUCUCAUAAUCCGGUGACCCGGGUUCGAAACCAAGUCGAUGCG